ACUGAACGCUGGCGGCAUGCCUUACACAUGCAAGUCGAACGGCAGCACGGGAGCAAUCCUGGUGGCGAGUGGCGAACGGGUGAGUAAAGUAUGGGAACGUGCCCAGUCGUGGGGGAUAACGUAGCGAAAGUUACGCUAAUACCGCAUACGAUCUAUGGAUGAAAGCGGGGGAUCGCAAGACCUCGCGCGAAUGGAGCGGCCGAUAUCAGAUUAGGUAGUUGGUGGGGUAAAGGCUCACCAAGCCGACGAUCUGUAGCUGGCCUGAGAGGACGACCAGCCACACUGGGACUGAGACACGGCCCAGACUCCUACGGGAGGCAGCAGUGGGGAAUUUUGGACAAUGGGCGAAAGCCUGAUCCAGCCAUGCCGCGUGCAGGAUGAAGGCCUUCGGGUUGUAAACUGCUUUUGUACGGAACGAAAAGGUUUGGCCUAAUAAGCUGAGCUCAUGACGGUACCGUAAGAAUAAGCACCGGCUAACUACGUGCCAGCCGCCGCGGUAA
rnacentral:rRNA from 1 species